UACGUUGGCAGCGAGCGUUGUUCGGAGUUACUGGGCGUAAAGCGUGCGUAGGCGGUGUCUUAAGUUUGUUGUGAAAUCUCCCGGCUUAACCGGGAGGGUGCGGCGAAUACUGAGAUGCUGGAGUGCCGGAGAGGUAAGCGGAAUUCCUGGUGUAGCGGUGAAAUGCGUAGAUAUCAGGAGGAACACCUGCGGUGUAGACGGCUUACUGGACGGUAACUGACGCUGAGGCACGAAAGCGUGGGUAGCAAACAGG
rnacentral:rRNA from 1 species